rnacentral:rRNA from 1 species
ACGCUCGACACCUACGGGAGGCAGCAGUGGGGAAUAUUGCACAAUGGGGGAAACCCUGAUGCAGCGACGCCGCGUGAGUGAGGAAGUAUUUCGGUAUGUAAAGCUCUAUCAGCAGGGAAGAAGAUGACGGUACCUGAGUAAGAAGCCCCGGCUAACUACGUGUCAGCAGCCGCGGUAAUCUGAGCGGGCUGGCAAGGC